rnacentral:rRNA from 1 species
GAUGAACGCUAGCUACAGGCUUAACACAUGCAAGUCGAGGGGCAGCACAGUGUAGCAAUACAUGGGUGGCGACCGGCGCACGGGUGCGUAACGCGUAUCCAACCUUCCCGUUACUCAGGGAUAGCCUUCCGAAAGGGAGAUUAAUACCUGAUGGUGUUCAAAUUCCGCAUGUUAUUUGACUAAAGAUUUAUCGGUAACGGAUGGGGAUGCGUGACAUUAGGUAGAUGGCGGGGUAACGGCCCACCAUGCCUACGAUGUCUAGGGGUUCUGAGAGGAAGGUCCCCCACACUGGAACUGAGACACGGUCCAGACUCCUACGGGAGGCAGCAGUGAGGAAUAUUGGUCAAUGGCGGAGCCUGACCAGCCAAGUCGCGUGAGGGAAGACGGCCCUACGGGUUGUAAACCUCUUUAGUCGGGGAGCAAAAAGGAUCACGCGUGGUCCAUUGAGCGUACCCGAGAAUAAGCAUCGGCUAAUCCGUG